GAGGCGGGGCCGCGCUUCCUCUGCUAAGGGAGGGCGCACGCAGGCUCAGAAGGAGAAAACGAUCUUCGUUUCCGCCCUACUAGUCUCAAUCCACGCUUAAGCAGCACGCGCAACAAACCACUUCCGGAAAGCCCGACUUAACGUGGCUGUAAUAUGGAUACCACCUGCGAAAGCGAAGAGCUGGUUUCUGGGGAAGUGGUGUCCGUGGCCCAUGCUCUUUCUCUCCCAGCCGAGUCGUAUGGCAACGACCCUGAUAUUGAGAUGGCUUGGGCCAUUAGAGCAAUGCAGCAUGCUGAAGUCUAUUACAAACUGAUUUCAUCAGUUGACCCUCAGUUCCUGAAACUUACCAAAGUAGAUGACCAAAUCUACUCUGAGUUCCGUGAAAAUUUCGAGAAGCUCCAGGUAGAUGUAUUGGAUCCAGAAGAACUCAAAUCAGAAUCAGCUAAAGAGAAGUGGAGGCCAUUCUGCUUGAAAUUUGAAGGGAUUGUAGAAGACUACAACUAUGGUACUUUGUUGCGACUGGAUUGUUCCCAGGGCUAUACCGAGGAGAACACCAUCUUUGCACCCAGGAUUCAGUUUUUUGCAAUUGAAAUCGCUCGAAACCGAGAAGGCUAUAACAAAGCAGUUUCCGUCAGUGUCCAGGACAAAGAAGGAGAGAAAGGAGCUGGCAAUAAAGAAGAGGAAGCAGAGAAAGGAGCUGAUAAUGGAGGAGAAAAAGAGGAAGGAGUCAACAAAGAAAACUCCAGUUCCACCCGCAAGGCUAGCAGGGCAGACUGUCCCUAGGAAGCCCUGGAUGCUGGCACCAGGUAGAUGUCACAAGAGCCUGCAAAACCAGAAUUGUGAUCGGACACUCAGCAGCAACACUCAAAGGGUCCUACAUGAAUCUACCUGUUCUGUUCCCUGCUUCCAACCCUCCUUGUCUAGGCAUUCUUUCCAGGCACGCUGAGAUUUUUCACUCUUUUCCUGAAGUUCUCCUACUGGCUCUGUGGUGCUUGUCAAUCUUUUUGGACCCUAAAAGUUUCUAGUGAUGGCCAGCUCCUUCCAUCUACUUAUGCACAUGUGUCUCCAUUCUUCAAGAGUCUGAGCUGGCACGGGCAGUAAACCCAGCAGCAAGGACAAGAGCAUCACAGAAGUUCAGAUAUCUGUUAUUCUGAAGAGACAUCAUGACAAAAGCAACUGUUAUAAAGGCAAACAUUUAAUUGAGACUGGCUUACACUCCAGAGGUUUACCAGGCAGACGUGGUGCUGAAGGAGCUGAGAGUUCUACAUCUGAAACAACAGGCAGCAGUAGGAGAGAUAGACACUGGGCGUGGCUUGAGCAUCUGAGUCCUCAAAGCCCACCCCCAAUGACACACUUCCUCCAACAAGGCUACGCCUACUACCACAAAGCCACACCUCCUAAUAGUGUCACUCCCUAUGAGCCUAUGGGGACCAUUUUCAUUCAAACUACCACACCACCACCCUUCUCUAUAUCCCCUCAAACUCCUCUCAUGUUCCCCUACUCCCUCUCAAAUUUAUGACCUCUUUUUCAUUGUUACUGGUGUGUGUGUGUGUGUGUGUGUGUGUGUGUGUGUGUGUGUGUGUGUUUAUUUCUUGGGGGCCCAUCCCUGAUUUUUUUCACUCUGUAGCUCUUCAUCUAGGGGUGGAGCCUUGUGAAACUUUCUUCAUUCAUGUGGGCAUGUCAACUGGUGCUGUCAUUAUGUAGUUUUUGUUUAGGCAACAAUAUUGUUGAGGUCCUAUAGCUGUAGCACUGGAAGUUUUUAUCAUGAAAUGUACUGUUGAGCUACCUGCAGAUUGUAUGGUGUGCCUCAGUUUCCAAACUUUUGUGAGCUGUCACUUAUGUUGGAGUAAGCUUUGGUGGUGCAGCUGUCUUUUGGUUAUUUCUGCUUCUGUAACACCUUACCCGUAUUCCUGUAAGUAUCCCCCAAUAAAAUUCAUUAGCUCUCUAA